rnacentral:rRNA from 1 species
GACGAACGCUGGCGGCGUGCUUAACACAUGCAAGUCGAACGGAAAGGCCCUGCUUUUUUGGGGUUCUCGAGUGGCUAACGGGUGAGUAACACGUGAGUAACCUGCCCUUGACUUUGGGAUAACUUCAGGAAACUGGGGCUAAUACCGGAUAGGAGCUCCUGCUGCAUGGUGGGGGUUGGAAAGUUUCGGCGGUUGGGGAUGGACUCGCGGCUUAUCAGCUUGUUGGUGGGGGAGUGGCUUACCCAGGCUUUGACGGAUAGCCGGCAUGAGAGGGUGACCGGCCACAUUGGGACUGAGAUACGGCCCAGAGUCCUACGGGAGGCAAAAGUGGGGAAUAUUGCACAAUGGGCGGAAGCCUGAUGCAGCAACGCCGCGUGCGGGAUGAAGGCCCUCGGGUGGUAAACCGAGUUCGCCUGUGACGAAGCGUGAGUGACGGUAAUGGGUAAAGAAGCACCGGCUAACUACGUG